GACGUAGGGCGCGAGCGUUGUCCGGAUUUAUUGGGCGUAAAGAGCUCGUAGGCGGCUUGUCGCGUCGGUUGUGAAAGCCCGGGGCUUAACCUGGGAACUGCGGCCGAAACUGCUGAGCUUGAGUGUGGUAGAGGGAUGUGGAAUUCCAGGUGUAGCGGUGAAAUGCGUAGAUAUCUGGAGGAACACCGGUGGCGAAGGCGGCAUCCUGGACCGGUAUUGACGCUGAGGCGCGAAAGCUAGGGGAGCAAACGGG
rnacentral:rRNA from 1 species